rnacentral:rRNA from 1 species
UACGUAGGGUGCGAGCGUUGUCCGGAAUUAUUGGGCGUAAAGGGCUCGUAGGCGGUUUGUCGCGUCGGGAGUGAAAACCUCGGGCUUAACUCGGGGCUUGCUUUCGAUACGGGCAGACUAGAGGUAUGCAGGGGAGAACGGAAUUCCUGGUGUAGCGGUGGAAUGCGCAGAUAUCAGGAGGAACACCAAUAGCGAAGGCAGCUCGCUGGGACGUACUGACACUGGAGGCGCGAAAGCGUGGGGAGCGAACAGG